CUCGUUGGUCCCAUCCCAGCACGAUGAAAUCCAUCCUCAUUGGACCAAUCACAGCCCCAGACCGUCAUCCCGGCAUCUGAGGAAGCAGAAGAAGGCGACUGUAUCCAUUGGGUGCUGGGGUAAUGUAUGAUAAAGCGCCAGUCUGCAUAGAACAGUAUUGAGCGAGCGUAUUAGCAGUGUAGGCUUCAGCGAGAGCAGUGCGUACAUUCUAUUAGAUAGUGUUCUGCCCAACAGUCAAUACCUCAUGGACUAUUACCGUAUUGUAGCAAAUACCGUGUAUGUGUGAAGGCUUGAUUGCGUGUCCCUCUUUGGAUUCUUAAAUCAAUUAUGUGUUUGUCAAGGACCGAUGCUUGUCAAAGUUUGUUGAAAUGGUUACGUACGUGUCCGUUAAACAAACAUUGAUGGGUAAGCAUUAUUUGUUAUAAAAGUUAUACAUAUAGUUUUAUAGCAAGGCCAUAUUGACUUAUCAUUUGGAGACCGGUGAAUUUCUUUUGUUCGUGGAAUAGAACGAAGCAAAUCAUUCCAAAUGCACGGAAAACAGCAUUACGAUGAAGUGAUUGAAAUGAUCUACCCGAACUCAACGCAGGAUUCCUACAAUGCUUCUGCUAUUAACACAACAGAAGACUACUCUGAACUAGAAUCAUGGCAGACAAAGCCUUUCAUCUGGAUCAUCCUCCUGCUGUCAACAUGCGUAUUCGUUAUGGGUACUGUGGGGAACCUGUUGGUGUGGUUUGCGGUAUGGAGGAACCACCGGAUGCGCUCUGCGACGAACCUUUUCCUAGUCAACCUGGCUCUAGCGGACUUUUUGGUUAUCUUGAUAUGCCUGCCACCUACUGUUAUUUCUGAUGUUACUACCAACUGGCCACUCGGACACGAGAUGUGCAAGGCUAUUCACUACUUACAGAAAGUCUCAGUCUUUGUGUCAGUUCUGACGCUGACAGCUAUAUCCAUGGAGAGAUGGAUGGCGAUCUGUCGUCCCUUGUGGUUCCGACAGACGUCUGUGAGAGCUAAACGGAUCAUUGUGUUAUUGUGGGGUAUAUCAUUCGCAGCUGCCAUUCCUGACUUAGUAGUAUUACAAACAUAUUACAUCGAACGAUAUAACCUUACAAUUUGUCAGCCGAGCUGGGAUCUGAAGUUUGAGAAAAUAAGCUUAUUAACAAUACUCGUGCUGUUUUACUUCAUUCCUCUGCUAAUUAUGACGUUCGCAUACGCAAAAGUUGCCAUUUGCCUGUGGCGAAGUGGAUCAGCCAAUGAAUCGACAGUUGCGGCUGCCAGCGUGCCCCGAGCUCAGCUUCUGAUCCGACAAAAGAAGGCCAAGAUGCUUAUCGUCGUUGUCCUCAUCUUUGCCAUCUGCUUCCUGCCUAUCUAUCUCCUCUUCUUGUUAAGGUGCUCCGAUGUUCAGAUUGCCAAGCCUGCCCUGAUGAUUGCUCACUUCCUCUGCUACUUCAACAGCGCCAUCAACCCCGUCAUAUACAACUUCAUGAGUUGUAACUUCCGCCGAGAGUUCAAGGUCGCAUGUCGGGUUUGCUGUAGGGAAGGUCAAGGCCACGGCCACACAAACUACUCUGCGCAUGACGCCAAUAACAAGAGUGUCAUUGCUGUGAAGUAAACGCCAAAACGAUUUUCCAUCAAGACUUUCACCUCUUAACAAUCAUCAAGACUUUCAUCACAUAGCAGUUCAAUAGAAUUCGGCUGGGCGUUAAAAACCACUUCAGAUGCAAGGAAUGGACAUUCCGGAGCCAUUGCAAGCAGAAACAUGAACUUGAG
rnacentral:misc_RNA from 1 species